CAUACUUCCUUCCUCCUUCGUGACCAAGGGCGUGUCCAUGGGCACUCGCAUGGGCCCCAGCUAUGCCUGUCUCUUCAUCGGCUGUGUUGAACAAUCUCUGUUCCCCUCAUGAGAUGCUGCCGGACCUCUGAGUUCCUCCAGCUUUUUGUG